rnacentral:rRNA from 1 species
UACGGAGGGUGCAAGCGUUGUCCGGAAUCACUGGGCGUAAAGGGCGCGUAGGCGGCUCAUGAAGGCUGUGGUGAAAGUCCGGGGCUCAACCUCGGAUCGGCCGUGGCGACUCGUGGGCUGGAGCACUGUAGAGGCGGGUGGAAUUCCGGGUGUAGCGGUGGAAUGCGUAGAGAUCCGGGAGAACACCAGUGGCGAAGGCGGCACUCUGGGUCGGUACUGACGCUGAGACGCGAAAGCGUGGGGAGCGAACAGG